UGCCAUGGGAGACACAGCUCCCGGUCAGCGCAGUAGCACUGAACCGUGGUCAUGGUGGUGUGUAAACACGAGGGGUGAUGUUACCUGGCAGUCAGCCUGGCGCCGAAUGAUAGAGCAGAGGUGUGACACUUCUCCGCUUAGCAGUACAAAAAGAACAAACCUCACCUAUCUUAGAGUGAGAGAGCCAUUGUCCCCUCUAUUUAAUUUUCAUGCACUAAAUAUUGAAUUCUGGCAGAAACGAUGCUGCACCUGCUUUCCUCCUCCUCUGCGUCCAAGCACAGAUGCUGACACCCAGUGGCCAUGGAGUUUCCAGCGCCUGUACGGGAUGGAAAACUUCACCAGAGAUGCCUCAGCCGCCAUUGGCAGGUUAUAGUGGUUGAAACACUUCAAAAUCUUGCAUUCAGAGGCCAGUCAGAAAAAUGAAAAAAUAUGAGGAUGGAAAAUGAGGAAACAGAAGACUUACUCGCCCUUACUUUACACGAGGGAAAAAUAAGUUGGCAAGAGUUACAACAAAUGAUGAGAAAGAGAAGGUGUCGCAUUAGCCCAAGCAGGAGAGAAGUAAUGUGCCGUAAAAAUGCAUACAUGUGCUGCAGCAGGAACUGCAACGGCACAGCCCACAGUCAAGCUUUUUGUCAGCAGUCCUGGAGUGUAAGAAAGAGCCAUGUUGAGCCAUGUGUUUCUAACAGACAUUGAUGACUCUUGCUUCCACUGAUGUCCCAUGGAUUUUUUUCAGACUGACUCUUCUUUGCGACCUUAUCUGGGGUCAAGGUUUUGGCAAGGUACCAGAGGUGUACUUUUCUACUUUUUUAGAUCUGCCUUGUAUAAGAUACUUUUAUUACAUGUGAUUUAUGGAACUGUUUUUUAAAGCUGCAUUUUUUUUUCCUCUGUGCUUUUUAAAUCCUAGUUAAAAUCAUCAUAGAAGAAUCUGCACAGCUGCACACUGCUGUGUGGCUUGGAGUGUGAUGUGCGUCAUGACCGAUGUCAGGUCAAAGAGCCUCGUUCCAUGCUCUUGCAAUUACAAAUCAUAGCUGAAACAGCAUGGGAGGUACCCUGCUCUUCCACCUCUGCAGGCUCCCAUGGGAUGGCUGGGCCAAAACCUGUUUGUGUGUGGCUGAGCACAGCCUGGCAGCCUCUCUGUGUUGGGGGGGGGG